UCGGCCCCGCACCGCCCGGCUCCUCCUCCCCAGCCCCCAGUCCCGGCCCUUCGUUAUGGUGCACGUCGCGAUCCGCCCCGGCCGCCUCUUGAAGGGCGUCUAGGCCAGUGACUGAAAGCCGAGGGGCGCUCCCUGCAGCAGGCGCAGAAAUAAGGUAGUCUUGAACAAUUUAUUAAACAAAGUAAUUGCUGUCGUUAUGAGAUGCUUCCAACUGCAAACAGAAUAAGUGUACCUCUACUUCCUACACCAGCUCUGAGAACAGUACAAGACAGGACAUCUGUGAGGGUCCAGCUGCACCUAUACAACAAAAGAAAGCAUUAACAAAAUAUCUCCUUCUGCUGCCCACAGAAUACUGCUCAUCACUACCUUAAGUACAGAAAGAAAUGGAUUCAUCCAAAUACUGAAUUGACUUCUAAGAAUCUAAUGAGAAAAAAAAUCAGGAAACGUACAGAGUUUUAGAAACAUAAGUUUAUUGAAAAAAUAAAACCAUACAAAAGUCUUUGUAAACAGUACAGAAGCUGACAGGAAUAACCUAACUUGGAGAGCCAUGUGGAAACUGAUGAGGCAUGCUGUGAUGGAGCACUUUGGAAGAAGAGCUUUUGCCUACUUAUGCCCCUCACCUUAUCCAUGCAAGCCAGCACCAGUUUUGUCCCACCACUGAUCUGGCAGGGGACCUUGCAGUGAAUGCCGUGCUCUGAACUUUUCUCUUACCUCAGAACUCAUGCUUUGAACUAAUCAUCCUGCCAUGGUUCACCUGCUACAGCAGGCCACUGACUCAUCUCCCACUGAGGCCUUUGGUUGUACACCGGUCCUGUUACCUCAGGCCAUCCCUUGUGGUGGAUCUGACUGUUGAAUGCAAUGGCUGUCUCUCAGGAUACUCACAGUCCAGAGACAUUAGUGCGAAGGUGUGGUUCAGAGAUCGAUCCAACUUCUGGGUCUCUGCCUCCAGAACAGCAGCAUUGGGCUCCCUGACCACAGCUGCCAAGGAAUAAGACAGCUCUUGGUGAAGGUCUGACAGCUCCUGGCUGGUCUUUGCACAACACUCAAUAUAGUCCUGCUUGUAUUUUCGUUCUUGUGCCAACUGCUGCUGCAGAAGGGUAACCUGAAAGAGGCAAAAGGCUGAUCUCAGAGAAGCCCAGGCUGUUAGGACCCUCCUUGGCUCCUCAGUACCAGCUGUCAGUGCAGAAGCAUCCUCCGGCCCUGACCAACAAUUUGUCACUGGUGAAUGGGGUUCCAAAUUCACCCUGAACAGAGCGUAGAUGAUCAACAAUUCCAGUUUAUUUCUGUCACACCAUAUACAUAUACAAAACCGGUAUCUUUCAUUCUUUCACACUUGCUAAA